UACGAAGGGGGCUAGCGUUGCUCGGAAUCACUGGGCGUAAAGCGCACGUAGGCGGCUUCUUAAGUCAGGGGUGAAAUCCUGGAGCUCAACUCCAGAACUGCCUUUGAUACUGAGAAGCUCGAGUCCGGAAGAGGUGAGUGGAACUGCGAGUGUAGAGGUGAAAUUCGUAGAUAUUCGCAAGAACACCCGUGGCGAAGGCGGCUCUCUGGGACGGUACUGACGCUGAGACGCGAAAGCGUGGGGAGCGAACAGG
rnacentral:rRNA from 1 species